UCCCUCCAGCUGCCUCCUUUGACAGCAUUAGGAGUCAGCAGAGCUUAAUGAGAUUCUCCGAGUCACUCUGGGAGGCAGCCAGGGUCAUUCUCAUUAGUUAGGAUGCAGCCGUUGCCUGUAUACUUUCGCUUCCUGUUUGGACUCAUGAGUGCAGGGGGUGGGUGUGUGGCUAAGGGGUCCACUGGGUGAGGAAGGGGAGUGAAGGCUAUUUUACUCUCUAUGAGCUCAGGCUUGCCCCGUUAAAUCCGUGGGCCCUCAACUUCCCUGUCUCUGGAACCAGGCUGGGCCUAAGGCAGGGGCACAUGUGGGGAGCAGAGAGCCCGCGAGCUCAGGAGGUGAAGCUCCUGUAGCAGCCUCUGGGCGUGUGCCCAGCCUGGACGCACAUUAACACCCGAUGUCGGCGAUGACCAAGGCCUUUCCUCUCAUACAUAUGCUUUGAGGAUGGUAAUCAUACCAGUCUUGGAGAGCAAUGGCCCGCAGGGACAAAGCUUCGGUGACGGUCCUCAGUGGCCAGUUCUUGCAACCCGGAGGAAGGGCUUCCAGUGAGCGAUACAGGACAAGAAGCAGGAGUUUAUUAGAGAAGGAGUCCAGGCCUCAGGCAUCCUCUGAAGUGGUCUCGGAUAUUGAAAACCGAGCUUAACUCCGAGCCACUGUUCCUUGUUCUUAAGAAGUCAAAGGCAACGCUGCCUCUCAGCUUCUGCAGGAUUGCCUGGAGAAUGGUAAUAAUGAGGACAAUCGUAUUUCUUCAUGGGAUCUUUCUGUGGAGCACAGAAGCUACAAGGAAAAUAUAUCAGAGUUACAGGGAGAGAAGGAAAGAGGAGACCAGAUGCCUGGUUAAAGAGAGAAUGGAAUUCUGGGAAGAACUGAACCUAGGAAUGAUGGUUUUUUGGAAGGAAAACCCUGCCAGACACAUUUGACCCAUUGCUGCAGGAGAAUGAAGUAAAUCUAAGUUGACCUAAAAAGAAAACCUGAUUUGUUCCCUAGGAAGUACCUGUGAGCAGAACACACUCUUUAAUUCCUGCCAUGAGCUGAUUGGCUUCCCUCCACCAUGCCCUUCCACCAUGUUGUUCUUCCUCAUAUUGCGCCCAGAGCUGUGGAGCUGUUCAUCUAUGGACUGAAAUCUCUGCAACUGUGAGCCAAAAGAAGGUUUUGCUUUUGAGAGCUUGUUCUGAGGUGCAAGGCUGGUUAUAAAGAAUUGCAUGAACUGCUAUUAAAUUGAAGACAUUUUGGAUUUUGAAGAUUUCCAUUUUAGUUCUAUCCUUACUGCUUUCUGCAGAUAAACAAAAGAUUAAAUGACACAGACAUUGUGUAUACAUACUGUUAGAAAUACAGAGGUGCCACACGAAAUCAAACACUUGCUCAGAAGUAGUGGGCAAAGCAAACUUUACUUCGGCCAGGAGGGCAUGCUGCCGAACCUGGCUAGCCUCUGGGCAGGUAGUCUACCUGCACACAGGAGAAACAAAAAUUUAUCUUGAGAGAAUGAGUUUACUUCAGUUAUUGAUUGAGUCUCAUAUUCAGAGAUUUGGGGCUGUGGACAGCUUCCUUAGUGACUUGCUGUGGCAAGAUUGGAACCUGCCUUCAGAUAUUUCAACCCUGGACUGCAGACUGGUAAAGCUGCCUUCAAAGUGCCUUUGAACUUCCUCCCCACUUCCUGAGUUCACUCUCUGCUGCCUCCACUCGGAUGCUCUUGGUUGUCUAGAACUAGAAGGGGACAUUGACAGGAAUGUGUCUCGAAUGUGCCAGGUGCUGAUGGAGGGCUUUCCUAAGUGGCAACUUUGUUUCAUGACCAGAACAAAUCCCUGAGAGAGGUACCAUUAUGUUAAUUUGACUGUGAGGAAACUGAUACUCAGGGUGUUAAACUCAGAGUUUUGACAUCACCCUUCAGUGCAGAGAUGAAGUGGAUAUUUAAAGUACCCUUGCUCUUCAAAGGACCUCAAAUGUUUUGUCCACUCAUGCCUGAUCCUUAACUCCAUGAGCAUCAUCGGAGCCUCUAUUAGUGUCUAAGUAUUUUUGCACCUGCUCUGAGAGUCUCCAGGAGGAGGAAGUGGAGGAAAGCAAACAGACACCUAGGAAGAAAGUGCCCUGGGAAGGCCCAGGUAUAUUCCCAAGAAGGGAUUGCCUGAGAGGAGGAAAGACCACCAUCAAUCAAGCACCUCCACACUACUCCUUCCUGCGGUCUGCAGGACGGACAAGCUGUUAAGUCAACACCUUUCAGGGCUGCCAGUGUUCACAGCUCACAGGCAGAGGAUGACAUCCUGCACAUUGACACUGUAUCUUCCCAGACAAUCAUUUUGUGUCUUCAAGUUACUUUUCUUUUAAUAACAAAUUAAAACUGGGUAUUCUUCUCUUUUAGUAAUAUUGGCCACUUUCAUAAUGUUUGAUGACACACAUCAGGGAUUUAAUCUACGUCCUUCUCAGAGCAUGUCAAAUGCAACUAAAUUGUAAUGUUCUCAGAACACUGUGUAUUGGACUUCAAGAUAAAGCAGAUUACAGUAAAUAUUAAUCUUUUCAAAUUGAUAGAAUGAAAUAUUAAACCAUUUCAAACAA